AACCCGUUACCCGAACCCAAACCGAACCGAAUUACCCGAAUUGUCGGGUAAUUCGGGUAUCGGGUAAGGGUUCGGUUCUCAUUUCUUGACUAUUCGAUUUUCGGGUUAGGGUUCGGGUUCUAGUCUGGAAAACCCGAAAUACCCACACUACCCAAAUUAUUCAUAAUGUCCAAAAUUUCCAUGCUAUUAUUACACUAACUUGUUACCCAUACUAACUAAAAUACCCAUAUUACCAAAAAUACCCAUAAUAUCCGAGUUAUUCAUAUCAAAAGUUGAUGUAUGCUCCGAAUAUUUUGGGUAUUUUGGGUACCCGAAUUACCCGAACCGAAAUUUUGGGUAAUUUGGGUUCGGGUAUUUUUUUGACAGAAACAAUUUUGGUUCCCAUUUUCGAAUACCCGAAUUACCCAUAAACCGAACUACC
rnacentral:lncRNA from 1 species